rnacentral:rRNA from 1 species
AUUGAACGCUGGCGGCAGGCCUAACACAUGCAAGUCGAGCGGAUGAAGGGAGCUUGCUCCUGGAUUCAGCGGCGGACGGGUGAGUAAUGCCUAGGAAUCUGCCUGGUAGUGGGGGAUAACGUCCGGAAACGGGCGCUAAUACCGCAUACGUCCUGAGGGAGAAAGUGGGGGAUCGGACCUCACGCUAUCAGAUGAGCCUAGGUCGGAUUAGCUAGUUGGUGGGGUAAAGGCCUACCAAGGCGACGAUCCGUAACUGGUCUGAGAGGAUGAUCAGUCACACUGGAACUGAGACACGGUCCAGACUCCUACGGGAGGCAGCAGUGGGGAAUAUUGGACAAUGGGCGAAAGCCUGAUCCAGCCAUGCCGCGUGUGUGAAGAAGGUCUUCGGAUUGUAAAGCACUUUAAGUUGGGAGGAAGGGCAGUAAGUUAAUACCUUGCUGUUUUGACGUUACCAACAGAAUAAGCACCGGCUAACUUCGUG